rnacentral:rRNA from 1 species
AUUGAACGCUGGCGGCAUGCCUUACACAUGCAAGUCGAACGGUAACAGGUCUUCGGAUGCUGACGAGUGGCGAACGGGUGAGUAAUACAUCGGAACGUGCCCGAUCGUGGGGGAUAACGAAGCGAAAGCUUUGCUAAUACCGCAUAAGAUCUAAGGAUGAAAGCAGGGGACCGCAAGGCCUUGCGCGAACGGAGCGGCCGAUGGCAGAUUAGGUAGUUGGUGGGAUAAAAGCUUACCAAGCCAACGAUCUGUAGCUGGCCUGAGAGGACGACCAGCCACACUGGGACUGAGACACGGCCCAGACUCCUACGGGAGGCAGCAGUGGGGAAUUUUGGACAAUGGGCGCAAGCCUGAUCCAGCCAUGCCGCGUGCAGGAUGAAGGCCUUCGGGUUGUAAACUGCUUUUGUACGGAACGAAAAGACUCUUUCUAAUAAAGAGGGUCCAUGACGGUACCGUAAGAAUAAGCACCGGCUAACUACGUGCCAGCCGCCGCGGUAAUAC